rnacentral:lncRNA from 1 species
AUGCCGCCUGCACGCACAACCCUCGGGUGCGCACCGGGGUCCGGGUACCCCUUCCCCGGCCUCCCCCCGCCCUCCAGGUCCGAUUCACCGAGCGCUGCUUUCCCAGACUUCCCCCCGGAGCAGGACCCCCGCCCGCCGCCCCUCCUCUCCCGUAGCCCACCCCGGCGGCACCGGCUCAGCAUCGCUCCCCCGCUCCGCCGGGAUCUCACCCGGGGAGGAAAACUCCCCAAAAAACCCCCCCGGCCGAUCGACCCGCGCUCGGCUCCCCGUCCCCGCCGCAGCUCCCGAGAGGCCCGGGCCCCAAAGAUGGCACUGCCAGGGGCCGGGAGGCCGGUGACAGGGAGGGAGAUGUGGGAGAACACCCCCGCCGAAGUGGCCCGGAGCAGGCGGGGCCCCGCACGGGGAGCGGGUCUCCUCCUCCUCGGGCAGGCACGCAGGCAGCGGGGCGGCCGCGCCGAGACGCACCGAAACUUUCCUGCCACAAAGAAGCAGCCACGGCUCCGCCGCCUUCUCCACCUCCUCCUUCCCAGCCACCGGCUCCAUCCCUGCCGCCCCCCGCCCGCUCCCCCGGCGGCGCUCACCGGGCGGCCCCGGGCCGGGCACCCCGCGCUCCGCAGGCGGCUCUCGCUGCUCCGGAGGCGGCGACGGCGGCGGCAGCAACCCCGCGCCUCGUCCCACUGCUCCCCCCUCGGCCGCAGGCAGCGCGGAGGCGGCGGCCUCGCAUCAUCGCCCCGCCUCGGGGCACCGUCAGGCGCCGGGACCCUCCCCCCGGGACCCUCCGCCCCGGCGGGCGGCGGCUGCGCGGAGCGGGGCGGGAGAGGAGGCGGAGGCAGCGGCCGGGGGAUGGAAGGUGCUGCCGGGUCGUGCCUAGCGGGACGGGACGGCCAGGCCACUGCCUCCAGAGGGGCUUCUUCAGGAAAGCACGAGGGAAUAUCCCCCAGCAAAGCGAGUGCGGGCAGGCAGAAACUCGGGGCUCUGUGGCAGGCAAGGCAGCCCGGGAAGCCGGGGCGGGAGCAGCGGGGCGCGGGGGUCUCGCCGGGCGCCCGGACAGCGCUCCCGUGCCGGAGGGAGGCGGGAGAAAAGGAACAGGGGGCAGCGCCGCUGGAAGCGCUAGAGGGGAGCGCGAUGAGCUGCCCCGAUGGCUGA